rnacentral:rRNA from 1 species
GUCUCUUUGUAAAAUGUAAAAAUAAAGAGUUGGGCCUGCUCGGUGAAUAAGUUUUAACAGCUGCGGUAUUUUAACUGUACUAAGGUAGCAUAAUAAUUUGCCUUAUAAUUUGAGGCUAGAAUGAAUGGUUUGACGAAGGUUAAGCUGUCUCCACUUUAUUUUUUAGAAUUUAAUUUUUAUAGUGAAAAAGCUUAAAUUUUUUAAAGGGACGAGAAGACCCUAAUGAGCUUAUAAUUUUAUUGUUGUGGUUUAAUAUAUUUAAAUGAUAAUAUAUAAAUUUUAAUUGGGGUGAUUAAGGAAUAAAUUAUGAUUAAUAACUUCCUUAGGCUGAAUAUAUAUUGAUUAAGUAACCAAUAAAUAUAUUGCUUAUAAUAUAGUUACCAUAGGGAUAACAGCGUAAUUUGUUUAGAGAGUUCUUAUUGAAAAACAAGAUUGCGACCUCGAUGUUGGAUUAAAGUAACCUUAAGGUGCAGAAGCUUUAUUAGGUAAAUCUGUUCGAUUUUUAAUACUUU